CUAUGGAGAUGAGAAGCUGACACAGUUUGGAGACUGACAGAAACUAGUAGUCGCUGCCUCUAACUUCUGCUAAACCGUAAAGAUCAUAUGAGGGAAACUGAUCUAAUUGUAGAAAAUCUGUGCUAUUCAAAAGACCUUUUUGGAGGACAAGAGAAUCCUCAACAAAGGAUUAAGACCUGAAUCAGUUGAAGCCUGCCUUUCUCUCUAGUGUCAUCUAAAACUUGAGAGAGACUCAAAUGUUUGCCAGAGAGGUGGCACUGGCUCUGGUGGCAGAGAGGCAACUGGUGGCUACGUGCUGAGAGUCUUGGCAUCUUGGCGUGGCUGCAGCUAUUGUCCGGGUCUAGCAGGAAUGUCUAGCCAUGGUGCUGGCUGGUCAACAAUGGCCCUUCCCACUUAGAUUCCUAGAGGGAGUGGUUGAGAGAGGUACUCUUUAUUGAGGUUAGUGCUUUAAGAAAAUGGAAGAAGCUUUCUAUUGAAAGAGAUGACAAAAUUGAAACAUGGAGCCCAAAGAGCUGACUGAUUCAGCAGAAUAACCUGUCUGGCUUCUGUAUUUCACAAGUUCAUCAAUGCUGAAAAAGUUGGCUCCUGUGAGCUGCCUGGAUUGUGUCACUCUAAUGAUAUAUUACAAAAUUUCCUGCACCACAGAGCAGCCGUGAACACAAUCCCCUUCUUGUUAAGAAAAGAGAGGUCAAGAAAAGCUCUUCCUGUUGCAAAAUGGUCAAUUUUAAAGUAAUUUAUAUCAAUUACAUGGAUUCUUUUUUCUAACCUCCCAACACACACACAUAUCCACAGUGAAGACUGUGUUUACACACAUAGAUUUAGAAUACAUAUGUAUAUGUAUAUAAAGGUGUGCAAUUGAAAAAUAUUUUUGAACUUAUUUUAGUUUUAGUGUAAAAUAAUUUUGGUUUUGAAUAUUUUUUAAAUUUACAUUAUGAAUAAUGUUGUAAGAACAAGAAUUGAUCCCAAAGCAUAAUCCAUGAGCAAUAUAAAGUCUCUAUCUUAAAUGAAGUUGCUCUUCAAAAUCAUCAAGGCAGUUUGGUACAUUGUGGAAAAAGCUCUGCAUUAAACAUCAGGAAA